CCUGGUAGGCUACAGUCCAUGGGGUCGCAAAGAGUCAGACACUGAGUCGGUCACUUCACUGAGCUCAGGAAAACUUGAAGCAGCUUGUCUGCUGAGUAGGGAUAUGUUCCCAGCCUGUUUAUUUUUUGGCUUGAGGCAUCUCAGCACUGGAAGCUUCAGGCUGUUGGGUGGGGCUAGCACCUGGCAUUAAAAUGGUAUCCUUCAGGACAGCUCACAGCAGUGUGCAUGGCCCAGAACCUUUGCCACCACCAGUGCUCUUGUCCCCACAGUGAACCACAGCAGCCCCUGCCUCGCAAGACGAUCCUCUAGGACCAGCAGAAGAAGCUCAUCCCUUCCAGUCCCACCAUGUACACACCAUCACCUUCUUGGAUGAAGAUCGGCCUUUGGUGUGGUUGGUGGUGGUUCAUUUUGCUUGCCCCGUGAUAUCUUCCACUUACAUUAUUAUACUGUAUGUGCUUUUUAUCACCCAUCACAAUUUAUUCAGAAAACGAAAUGUUUUUGUUAUGUUUUAAGUAGAGAAUUGCAUUCAGAAAUAUGAUCAAGAAGGUUGUGUUUUUUUUUUCCUCAUGUGCAGCCCAAACAUAUUUAAUAAAAGCAGUUACCAUAGUGUUUUGAUUUUCAGUGGUUGAGUUGAUAUUCUGAGUAUGUCACUUAUCUCCCAUGGGGAAUAAAGUUCAUUGUUCUCCAUGUCUCAGUUUGAUUGCUGUCGCCUUCAACUGGUCUGCCCAACCGUGGAGCAUCGUCCAGCAAGAAAUCUCUACCAUGAAACUGGGCAAACCACUUUUGGCACAUCUGAUCAGUCACAAGACCUUUUCUAUAUACUUUACAAGUCUUUCUUUGUGCUUCAGUUGCGUUUUUACCUUGAAAUAAUAAAGCAUAUUAUUC